CAAGUCGAGCGCGAUAUUUUUGAAAGAUACUUCGGUUGAUUUCUUAAAUGGAAAGCGGCGAAAGGGAGAGUAACGAGUAGAUACGUACCCAGGGGUUCGGGAUAGCCAUGCGAAAGCGUGAGUAAUACCGAAUAAUGUCUCCGGACCAAAUAUUUAUAGCCCUUGGAGCGGUCUGCUUACUAUUAGCUUGUUGGUGGGGUAAAAAGCCUACCAAGGCGAAGAUGGUUAGCGGGUGUGAGAGCAUGGCCCGUCUCACUGGGACUGAGACACUGCCCAGACAUCUACGGAUGGCUGCAGUCGAGAAUCUUCCGCAAUGGACGAAAGUCUGACGGAGCGACGCCGCGUGAUGGACGAAGGCCCUCGGGUUGUAAACAUCUGUCGUAGGGGAGGAAAUUUUGACCGAUCCUAGGAGGAAGCACAGGCUAAGUUCGUGCCAGCAGCCGCGGUAAUACGAACUGUGCAAACGUUAUUCGGAAUCACUGGGCUUAAAGGGUGCGUAGGCGGGUUAGUAGGUCAGAUGUGAAAGCCCACGGCUCAACCGUGGAAUUGCGUUUGAAACCACUAGUCUUGAGGGGAUCAGAGGAGAGCGGAACUGAUGGUGGAGCGGUGAAAUGCGUUGAUAUUAUCAGGAACACCGGUGGCGAAGGCGGC
rnacentral:rRNA from 1 species